rnacentral:rRNA from 1 species
GACGAACGCUGGCGGCGUGCCUAAUACAUGCAAGUAGAACGCACAGGAUGCACCGUAGUUUACUACACCGUAUUCUGUGAGUUGCGAACGGGUGAGUAACGCGUAGGUAACCUGCCUGGUAGCGGGGGAUAACUAUUGGAAACGAUAGCUAAUACCGCAUAAGAACAUUUACUGCAUGGUAGAUGUUUAAAAGGUGCAAAUGCAUCACUACCAGAUGGACCUGCGUUGUAUUAGCUAGUUGGUGAGGUAACGGCUCACCAAGGCAACGAUACAUAGCCGACCUGAGAGGGUGAUCGGCCACACUGGGACUGAGACACGGCCCAGACUCCUACGGGAGGCAGCAGUAGGGAAUCUUCGGCAAUGGGGGGAACCCUGACCGAGCAACGCCUCGUGAGUGAAGAAGGUUUUCGGAUCGUAAAGCUCUGUUGUUAAGGAAGAACGUGUGUGAGAGUGGAAAGUUCACACAGUGACGGUACUUAACCAGAAAGGGACGGCUAACUACGUGCCAGCAGCCGCGGUAAUACGUAGGUCCCGAGCGUUGUCCGGAUUUAUUGGGCGUAAAGCGAGCGCAGGCGGUUAGAUAAGUCUGAAGUGAAAGGCAGUGGCUCAACCAUUGUAGGCUUUGGAAACUGUUUAACUUGAGUGCAGAAGGGGAGAGUGGAAUUCCAUGUGUAGCGGUGAAAUGCGUAGAUAUAUGGAGGAACACCGGUGGCGAAAGCGGCUCUCUGGUCUGUAACUGACGCUGAGGCUCGAAAGCGUGGGGAGCGAACAGG